AGCUGGUCUCACGGUUACUGGAUACGAUAGGUCUUAAGAGUACUGCAGCCUCCCUUAGGGUGUUGGGGACUUGCUGGAGUAUGAGAAAAGUUUAGAAGAAAUAUGAAAGUCUUACUCACUCUAGGAUUUUUCAACCUAAAGCAAAAUCCUCUGCAUCCGCCUUUUUCAUGUUAGACACGUUCAUUCCUAACAGACUUGAGGAAGCAGUUCAGCUGCGGUGGGACUAGGGGAAGACGAGGUGGCAGAAACACUCAUCAUUUCAAGUAGAAUAGACUGCUGGUUAAAAGUGGAGAUUCUGGAGCCAACCGAGCCCCUACUGUGUGCAGGUCCUAAGGUUACAGUAGUGGGAAAAGACCCCUCUUCUCACGGAGCUUGUAUUUGUGGGGAAGAGACAAAAGAUAAAAUGAGGAGUUCCUGUUGUGGCUUAGCGGUUACCAAACCCGACUAGCAUCCAUGAGGAUGCAGGUUCGAUCCCUGGCAUCGCUCAGUGGAUUAAGGAUCCGGUGUUGCCGUGAGCUGUGGUGUACCUUGCAGAUGCGGGUCAGAUCCACAUUGUUUGUGGCUGUGGUGUAGGCCGGCAGCUGUAGCUCCGAUUUGACCCCUAGCCUGGGAACCUCCAUAUACUGCGGGUGCGGCCCUAAAAAGCAAAUAAAUAAAUAAAUAAAUAAAAUGAAGAGUAAGGGACAUAAUAUCUGAGCAGAUUGUAAGUGCUUGGAGAAAGAUCUGUUCGAGAAGGGGGAAGAGAGUGCUGGUUAUCCCUUUUCUUGGGUCUGUGUGAAAUUUUCAUGAUUUGACUUUUUUAUGUGCCAGCUUCUAAUUCUUGGGCUGCCCUGAUGUUCCUGUACUAACUCUCUCUCUCUCUUUUUUCCAGGCAAGAGCAGACCUUGCACUUUGCAGUUGGUGUGGACAAAGUAUGUAGCCACCAAAAUGGCAUGGAAUUAAGAGUAAAUAAAGAAAAUCAGUGAAAAGAGAAGAGAAAAAACAAAAGAAAUGAACUAUUUGGAGGGAGGCUGGGUCCACGCGUCUGCAUCACGCUUAGAGUCUGGGCUCACCGGAAGCUGUUCACCAGUCCCCGACUGUCUGACGUCUGCCUGGAACUGUGGCAACUCCGGCUCUAGGAAGAGAAAGGGAGCCUAAUAGACAGGUACCUCCCCACACGUACACACACACAUACACAGGUCUACACAUAGACUCACAGGAGAGGGGAAGGUGGCUCAAGAAGGGAACGAAAGCGAGAAGGUAUUGUUAGUGCGGAUUGAUUCAUCCGUUUGAGAAUUUCAUCACACUGUUCAGCCGGUUGUUUCUAGAAUGUAAAAAUUAAUCCGUUUGGUUGGAGCGGGGUCUCACUGCGUGUAAAUACACUGGACAUUUAUUCGCAUUACCAGGCCAAACAAUCUCAAGUGGAAGGAACUAUAAAGUAACAACCCAUCUUAACAAACCCAGUCUCGAGCUCAAUUCUCCUUUAGAAAAUACUCAUUAUCCCCCAUUGUUACCCCUCGCCCUCUGCCGUUCCUUUCUUCCUUCUCCUUUCCUCCCCUCUUAAUUCCUCCACACCAGAAAAACUUCUCUCCGUGGGGAAAAUGAACGAGCACAAAUGCGCCUGCAUCUGCGUCUUCGAGUUGCUGCUGGGGUCCAGUUCCGACAUGAGUCAUAAACAUAGUGCUAGCAGAGUUAAGAAGCGCA
rnacentral:lncRNA from 1 species